rnacentral:rRNA from 1 species
UACGAAGGGGGCUAGCGUUGUUCGGAUUUACUGGGCGUAAAGCGCACGUAGGCGGUUUGUUAAGUCAGGGGUGAAAUCCCGGAGCUCAACUCCGGAACUGCCUUUGAUACUGGCAGCUAGAGUCCGGAAGAGGUAAGUGGAACUCCUAGUGUAGAGGUGGAAUUCGUAGAUAUUAGGAAGAACACCAGUGGCGAAGGCGGCUUACUGGUCCGGAACUGACGCUGAGGUGCGAAAGCGUGGGGAGCAAACAGG